GGAUGGGGAAGGCGGCGGCCGCGGCGGUGGCCUUUGGGGCCGAAGUGGGGGUGCGGCUCGCGCUGUUCGCGGCCUUCCUGUAAGAUCCACGGCCGGGCCCGGGCGGCCCCGCUUCCCAGGGUGACGGAGCUGCUCCCCCCGUUCCAGAGACUCAUCCAGCCGGAGGAGAUGUGGCUCUACCGGAACCCCUACGUGGAGGCGGAGUAUUUCCCCACCAAGCCGAUGUUUGUGCGUGGAGAAAGAUCGUCCCUUCUCCCUCCCCGUGACCGGGCUUCCCGCGGGCACCUGUGCGUUUUCCGCCCCGAGACGGCCUUUGUAGGGACCCACUGCCCACUCCGCUGCUGUGCGCUGGAUUCCGCCUCCUAGGGCUCUAGUGUUUAAGAUCCUGAUUGAGAGAGGAGGGUGUCCGAGCCUCUUUGGGCUGAGACGUUUUCCCGGGCGCUCUGUGCCUCAGCCUGAGGUACCGGGGCCCGAGCGCAUGGGCGCU
rnacentral:sRNA from 1 species